AGACUGCCACCAGACAAACACGUCCCGCCCGGUUCGUUGCCAACGCACAUCCCAUGCCCCAUCUCCCCCAACCGCUUGACUCCACUUCGAUCUCCCCGCACAGAAAAAUCGCCACCCCGCCUCGCCCUGACACCAAUCUACCACGACGAAUCGCCCUUCUCGGCCACCGCCCACGGUUUGUUUCCAUCGUUGCCUCGUGCCUCCCCUUGUUCUCACGGGGAAACCAUAGGGUCUCACACACGACCGAAAGGAGAGGUGGCAGCACCGGUGAGCUCACAACCGUCGUGCACGUCGACAAUGGCGAAGGCGAGACCGGCAUCCACACACGGCGAUGACGUCGCAGAUCCACAAGAUCAGAUGCAGGCAAUUCUAAGGCUCUUCUAUAAUCUCGUCUCUUCUUCCUUUCUGCCUUCUCUAUCGCGAUCUCCUCGUGUAUGUCCUACGAUUAGUUGUUGACUGGUGUGCCGCUCUGGAUCUCGGUUGUAGGCCGGUGAUGACCACUGUCUUGGAUUCCUUCUUCGAGGUCCCCAGAUUUCUUAAUAAGGUGUGUGGUUGAUCGUCCGAGUUACUCUGGAUGUGGCUGGUGCUCGCGGUAGCGGCAGAGUGGCGUGCGUGAGCGCGGCGUAGGCAACGGCCAAAGCCGCGUCAGUCGUUGUGAGCACGCCGUCCAGGCGACACAUCAAGUUCGACAGUGUUCCCUCCAAACUCCUAAGGUAUGUGGCCAGUGAAGAUCCAACCUCUUCAUUGCCUACGAGCCUACGGCGGCCGGAGCACAACAUGGCUUGCACCAAAUCUGGCUGCUAGAGAUAGCCCAGUGCUGAAGUCUCGGUUUCAAUUUUGGUCUUAGCAUUUCCCCAUUCUUCAGUAAUUUCCUUGCAAGUGUCGCCGAGGGUGUCGAGUGCGACAGAGAUUACCCACUUCUUCCUAUCCUACUACAUUUGGACAAUGACACUCAGUUCUAGCAAAAACUGCAACCUAACAUAAUGUCACUCAAUGAUGUUCUAUGUCUGUAAGCUUUUGAGCUGUUGUCUUGUACCUUCUUUAAGAGCAGAUACAACUUGUACGAUGAUAUUCCUCUAUGGGUUGUAUAGUUAAGAAUGGAUUCCAUUACUUAUCAUAAUGGAGCAUUAGAAUUGCAGCUGAUUGUUGGUUGAAAAGAAAUUCACUUGCUACGUAGAUUGCAGUUGAGGUGAAGCUCAAUGUGACGGGACCAACUUGGCAUUAAUUUUCUCCAUAAAUUGCAGCUGAGGUGAAGCCAUGGUUUACUUUCCAUUAGUGAAAUGAAAGAAAGAAAAGAAAAAAACAUGCGGCAUAUUUGUUUGUCCACAUCACGUGAUCCUCACCAUGUUCGUUUGUUAAGAGAGACAGAACACCAUGCCACUGUAAUGUUUCAAAUAUUCUAUGGUUUACUUAUUUAUUUUAGAAAAAAAAUGUAUUUCAGCAUGUUGUUUGAUGAUCACCCUUUUUUAGAUCGUUAUUAUCCUAUUUUAAAUAAAUACAUCAGAGUUGUGUUUAAAUGUGCAUUACUUUUUCUUUAUGUGACCUCUAUUCAGUUCUACUUUAAUUUGUUGCAAUGCAGGGGACAGAGUGCAUCUUGCAAGAACUUAAUCUAUUUCUUUGCACGAAGCUUCCGGCCGGAAGCCCCACUUUACAUUUUGCAAAGGUAUUGUCACGGUUGCUCCAGUUACUCAAGUACAGUGCCACCUGCUUGCAUGAUUUUUCUCCGCUGCUCAUGCUGAUCCUCUGUACCUGAACCAGGAUGUGACUCGCAGUGUAGCAACACUGUUUCAGUGACCUCUCCUGCUUACAUUGAUCGCCAAUGUCUUUGCCGUAUGUGCCAUCUUGCUGCUAUCUGAUCAGUGUCAUCACCACGCCGACGCUUGCCGUUGUUAGAUCUAUCAACAUGCGUCCAUUGCUCCAUUACGUUGAUUUCUUUUUUUCCAAUAUAUGUUGCACAAGGCUCUAGGAGCCAGGAUUCUUAUGACUGAUGUCGUACUACUUAUGCUGGUUUGCGGGCUAUAAUUCUAGAAUUUCUUCUCAAGACAUGAAAUGUUUGAAUUAGCAGAAAGAAUGAGCUAUUGGGUCACAUGUUA
rnacentral:lncRNA from 1 species